rnacentral:lncRNA from 1 species
CCCUCAGCCUCCCCCAGACCACAUUCCUUGGAUUACAGCUGUACUUCCAACAGUUAUUAUAUGUGUGAUGGUUUUCUGUCUAAUUCUAUGGAAAUGGAAGAAGAAGAAGCGGCCUCGCAACUCUUAUAAAUGUGGAACCAACACAAUGGAGAGGGAAGAGAGUGAACAGACCAAGAAAAGAGAAAAAAUCCAUAUACCUGAAAGAUCUGAUGAAGCCCAGCGUGUUUUUAAAAGUUCGAAGACAUCUUCAUGCGACAAAAGUGAUACAUGUUUUUAAUUAAAGAGUAAAGCCCAUACAAGUAUUCAUUUUUUCUACCCUUUCCUUUGUAAGUUCCUGGGCAACCUUUUUGAUUUCUUCCAGAAGGCAAAAAGACAUUACCAUGAGUAAUAAGGGGGCUCCAGGACUCCCUCUAAGUGGAAUAGCCUCCCUGUAACUCCAGCUCUGCUCCGUAUGCCAAGAGGAGACUUUAAUUCUCUUACUGCUUCUUUUCACUUCAGAGCACACUUAUGGGCCAAGCCCAGCUUAAUGGCUCAUGACCUGGAAAUAAAAUUUAGGACCAAUACCUCCUCCAGAUCAGAUUCUUCUCUUAAUUUCAUAGAUUGUGUUUUUUUUUUAAAUAGACCUCUCAAUUUCUGGAAAACUGCCUUUUAUCUGCCCAGAAUUCUAAGCUGGUGCCCCACUGAAUUUUGUGUGUACCUGUGACUAAACAACUACCUCCUCAGUCUGGGUGGGACUUAUGUAUUUAUGACCUUAUAGUGUUAAUAUCUUGAAACAUAGAGAUCUAUGUACUGUAAUAGUGUGAUUACUAUGCUCUAGAGAAAAGUCUACCCCUGCUAAGGAGUUCUCAUCCCUCUGUCAGGGUCAGUAAGGAAAACGGUGGCCUAGGGUACAGGCAACAAUGAGCAGACCAACCUAAAUUUGGGGAAAUUAGGAGAGGCAGAGAUAGAACCUGGAGCCACUUCUAUCUGGGCUGUUGCUAAUAUUGAGGAGGCUUGCCCCACCCAACAAGCCAUAGUGGAGAGAACUGAAUAAACAGGAAAAUGCCAGAGCUUGUGAACCCUGUUUCUCUUGAAGAACUGACUAGUGAGAUGGCCUGGGGAAGCUGUGAAAGAACCAAAAGAGAUCACAAUACUC